rnacentral:rRNA from 1 species
GGUGCUCCGAUGCUCUAGAUUACGCGAAGACCCUUACCAAGGCUUGACAUAUAGAGGAAAAGUGUAGAAAUACACUCCCCGCAAGGUCUCUAUACAGGUGGUGCAUGGUUGUCGUCAGCUCGUGUCGUGAGAUGUUGGGUUAAGUCCCGCAACGAGCGCAACCCUCGUCCUAUGUUGCCAGCACGUUAAGGUGGGAACUCAUGGGAUACUGCCGGGGUCAACUCGGAGGAAGGUGGGGAUGACGUCAAAUCAUCAUGCCCCUUAUGUCUUGGGCUUCACGCAUGCUACAAUGGCCGGUACAGAGGGCAGCAAUACCGCAAGGUGGAGCGAAUCCCAGAAAGCCGGUCUCAGUUCGGAUUGAGGUCUGCAACUCGACCUCAUGAAGUCGGAGUCGCUAGUAAUCGCGAAUCAGCAACGUCGCGGUGAAUACGUUCCCGGGUCUUGUA